rnacentral:rRNA from 1 species
AGGUUUUCGGACCUAGAGACCGGCGCACGGGUGCGUAACGCGUAUACAAUCUACCUUUUACAGAGGGAUAGCCCAGAGAAAUUUGGAUUAAUACCUCAUAGUAUAAUGACUCGGCAUCGAGAUAUUAUUAAAGUCACAACGGUAAAAGAUGAGCAUGCGUCCCAUUAGCUAGUUGGUAAGGUAACGGCUUACCAAGGCAACGAUGGGUAGGGGUCCUGAGAGGGAGAUCCCCCACACUGGUACUGAGACACGGACCAGACUCCUACGGGAGGCAGCAGUGAGGAAUAUUGGUCAAUGGGCGCAAGCCUGAACCAGCCAUGCCGCGUGCAGGAUGAAGCAUCUAUGGUGUGUAAACUGCUUUUGUACGAGAAGAAACACUACUUCGUGAAGUAGCUUGACGGUAUCGUAAGAAUAAGGACCGGCUAACUCCGUGCCAGCAGCCGCGGUAAUACGGAGGGUCCAAGCGUUAUCCGGAAUCAUUGGGUUUAAAGGGUCCGUAGGCGGUUUUGUAAGUCAGUGGUGAAAGCCCAUCGCUCAACGGUGGAACGGCCAUUGAUACUGCAAGACUUGAAUUAUUAGGAAGUAACUAGAAUAUGUAGUGUAGCGGUGAAAUGCUUAGAUAUUACAUGGAAUACCAAUUGCGAAGGCAGGUUACUACUAAUGGAUUGACGCUGAUGGACGAAAGCGUGGGGAGCGAACAGGAUUAGAUACCCUGGUAGUCCACGCCGUAAACGAUGGAUACUAGCUGUUCGGAGCAAUCUGAGUGGCUAAGCGAAAGUGAUAA